GCGGGCGUGGGCGCUGGGAUCUCCUUUCCUCGCCGGCCGUGGUUUGUGGGCGGCGGAGUGUGCGCUGAGGCCCCUUUUCGUGAUAUUUGGCCUUUGAAUCUUUCUUUCGCUGUGAUCUCUGGUUCUUCGCGACGUAAGAUAAUCACAAAAGGAGAAAUAAAAAGAACAGAAGAAAACAUAAAACAACCACAAAA